UUUCCGUAGGUGAACCUGCGGAAGGAUCAUUAAAAAAUUGGACUCCAUUGGUGAGUUCAUUAAUAAUCCCUACCCUUUGUGAAUUUGUUUGUUUGAAUAAUUUUUUUUCCAAAAAAAAUUAUUGAAUGUCUUUCCUUGUUUUGGUGGAGCUUGUAAAGUGAAACCAGGCAGGGGAAUGGCAAACAAUAAUUAUUUUUGAAAAAGACCUUUUUUUAAAAUUAAACUUUUGUAUUCAUUUGUCUAAAAUUAAUUUUUAUAAUAUAAAAACAACUUUUGACAAUGGACCUCUUGGUUCUCGCAACGAUGAAGAACGCAGCAAAAUGCGAUAAGUAGUGUGAAUUGCAGAAUACGUGAAUCAUCGAAUCUUCGAACGCAUAUUGCACUUUUUUAGUUUACUAAAAAAGUAUGUCUGUUUGAGUAUCAGUAAAAUAUUCUCAUAAAAAACAUUGUUUUUUUUAUGGUUAUGAGUGUUUUACAACGAUAACAAGUUGUUUCACUUUAAAUUCUUUGUUAUCAAAAAAUCAUUAAAAGCUAAUUUUAAAGAUUUUUUAAAAUCGGAUAAAAUUUUCCCGUAAAAAGGAAUAACCUAAACAAUUUUAAAAAAUUAAAAUUGGUUUGAUUUUUUUUGAAACCCAAAGGAAAAAAAAACGAAAUUAACUUGAUCUCAAAUCAGAUAAGAGUACCCGCUGAACUUAAGCAUAUCAAUAAGCGGAGGAAAAGAAACUAACUAGGAUUCCUCAGUAACGGCGAGUGAAGCGGGAAGAGCUCAAAUUUGAAAUCUUCAAGGUUUUACCUUGACGAAUUGUAGUUUAAAGAAGUGUUUUCUGUUGGAGUUUUGGUAAAAGUUCUUUGGAAAAGGACAUCAUAGAGGGUGAGAAUCCCGUAUUUGACCAUUAUCUCCAGCUUUGUGAUACACUUUCAAAGAGUCGGAUUGUUGGGAAUGCAGUCCAAAAUGGGUGGUAAAUUUCAUCUAAAGCUAAAUAUUGGCGAGAGACCGAUAGCGAACAAGUACGUGAGGGAAAGAUGAAAAGAACUUUGAAAAGAGAGUUAAACAGUACGUGAAAUUGUCAAAAGGGAAGCGUUUGACACCAGUGUUGUUUUCUCGAAAAUCAAUUAAAAAAAGUUGGAUUUUGUGUUGUAUUGACCUUAACAGCUUGCUUCACUCUUUUCUUGCUUUUUUUUAAUGCACUUUUCGUUUAACAAGUCAACAUCAGUUUCUUUUGUUGUAAAAGGGUCAUUGGAAGGUGGCUUUCUCUUCGGAGAAAGUGUUUAUAGCCUUUGAUCUCUGCAAUCGGAGAGACUGAGGUCUGCAGCGUAGAUCCUUCGGGGUUAGAUACAUUUGUGCUAAGCUACAGCUUUUCAUAGACAACUUGUUGACUAUGUUUAGUCUUGUAACUUACCCGCUUAUGCUAUUUUACCUACGCUUAGGAUGUUGAG
rnacentral:misc_RNA from 1 species